rnacentral:misc_RNA from 1 species
GUUGGUGAACCAGCGGAGGGAUCAUUAAAGAGUUGCAAAACUCCCAAACCAUUGUGAACAUACCUUCAACGUUGCUUCGGCGGGUUGGCCCCGGUCUCCGGGGUCCCCGGCCCUACUCGGGCGCCCGCCGGAGGUACGAAACUCUGUAUUAUAGUGGCAUCUCUGAGUGUAAAACAAAUAAGUUAAAACUUUCAACAACGGAUCUCUUGGUUCUG